GUUUCUCCCGCUUCACGCGCCGCUCCGAGGGCUCCGCUUGGCUUCGUUCGCGACCGUGCGCGCCGCUGCGGGCCUCGGCUUCCGCCCCACGCCGCCCGCUCCCGCGCUCACUCCCACGCUCCCGGCUCCGCUUCCGUCGUUCGCCGCCGCUGCUGCCGCCGCCGCUGCUCCGGUGCUUGUGUUUCUUAUGCUCGCGAUGCCGUGGCGGCUGCUCGGUCGUGCCCCCAGUCCCGGCCGCAGCCGUCGUCCCGGCCGCCUCCUUCUCGCCACGGUGCUUCUUUGACGACCCCAUGAUUAUUGCGUCCGCCUGGAGCCGGGCCGCUACCCUAGCCCAGACGACGCGAAAUGGGAACGCUUCCGGGUCGCGCGACCGCCCCGUUCCUGUUGCCGGAAACUAAGAGGGGCUGUUUCCGGGGCCUGCCUGGGAACCUCCAAAGGCUCACGGGAGGGACUGAUUGAGGGUGCGCGGUCCCGCCUGCCAGCUACUGGUCUCUGCGCACGCGCACCUGUAGAGACUGCGCCGUCCACCCUCUCGCGCCAUCUAAGAUGGUAGUCGUAGAGCCGUAAGAACUUUAGCAUGGUACUGGGUCAUCAUCUCCGGAGCUAGAAGUUUCCCCUGCCUCCUUCCCCUUCCACUCUGAUCGCUUCGUGGUGCUCUGUGCCUCAAGUCUCUCUGUGGGCAGCCCCCUCUCCAGUGACUGUCCAAGCAAGCUCCCUAGUGCCGGGGCUCCAUCCAGAGUUGGAAAAUACUCUUUCUUUUAGCGAACGCUACCGUCAUCCUAUGUCCCCUAGACUGAUGGAUUGGACCGUUUUAUUAUUAUUUUUUAGACAGGGGUUUUCUCUGUCCUGGAACUCACUCUGUAGACCAGGCUGGCCUCGAACUCAGAAAUCCGCCUGCCUCUGCCUCCCAGGUGCUGGGAUUAAAGGCGUGCGCCACCACCGCCCAGCUGGAUUGGACCUUUUUAACUAGGCUUUGGAGUGCUCUUUGAAUUUGUGCCUAUAAACCUGGUGAUACUGAGUGAUGGUUUGUUUCUAGUUUUCUUUUUUUGUAAAGGUAGGUCUAGUACUUGUUACUUACCCCUGGCUGUCUUCAAACCCACCACAGUCCCUCUGUCAGCCUCUCGUGUGCAUGGCCACUCCAGGCUUGAGUGCAAAUUCGGCACAUUUGUGCAUGUAUAUGCUUUCCCUCCUUUUUUUGUUUUUCCCGUUCUGUCUAGCCUGUUAACUAUGUAGCCCAGGCUGGGAUUACAUGCUUUUCUCGACUUU
rnacentral:lncRNA from 1 species